CCUACGGGUCGCAGCAGUGGGGAAUAUUGCUCAAUGGGCGCAAGCCUGAUGCAGCCAUGCCGCGUGUAUGAAGAAGGCCCUAGGGUUGUAAAGUACUUUCAGUCGGGAGGAAGGCGUUGAUGCUAAUAUCAUUAACGAUUGACGUUACCGACAGAAGGAGCACCGGCUAACUCCGUGCCAGCAGCCGCGGUAAUACGGAGGGUGCAAGCGUUAAUCGGAAUUACUGGGCGUAAAGCGCACGCAGGCGGUUGAUUAAGUUAGAUGUGAAAUCCCCGGGCUUAACCUGGGAAUGGCAUCUAAGACUGGUCAGCUAGAGUCUUGUAGAGGGGGGUGGAAUUCCAUGUGUAGCGGUGAAAUGCGUAGAGAUGUGGAGGAAUACCGGUGGCGAAGGCGGCCCCCUGGACAAAGACUGACGCUCAGGUGCGAAGCGUGGGGAGCAAACAGGAUUAGAUACCCUCGUAGUC
rnacentral:rRNA from 1 species